CCCCAAACUAAAAAACUCGGUCGCUCUCUUUUCCAGCCCUACCACCUAGAACAGUAAACCCCUUGGCUAAAGAGUCGUGUCUACAAACACUCACAUUCUGAACAGACGCCAAUAAGAUCUCAUUGAUAACAGAUGAAAUUUAUGUUUUGCAUCCUUUUGAAACCAUUAUGAGAAAAUGACCUUUUCUCAGCAGCCAACAUCCGAUUUCAGCAAAAGAAGAACAGACAAUUCUCACCAACCUUGAUUCUUCUCUAGCAAAACAUGCGUCAAUAUUGAUUUACCCUAUGGCAGCCAUCGUGCAAGAGUUGUAAGUUCCCACCUGCACAAUUUGUAUUUGUUCGCCAACCUUUAUUAUGGCCGAUUAAGAUCCCUACCCUGUCAAAGUUCUGCUAGUCAAAACAGAUAAGAAUCUUAUGAGGCGAUGUCCUCCCCACUGCUUCUUUGUGAAUCUCUUGGUACUCACAUUAACUUACGAUUCAUCAUUGUAACGGAAAACUGGCAAAUAUUAUUUACAUUGUUAGUCUGGAACAUAAUUGAGUUGAA